UACAUGGGAGCGCCAAAUCCUGUGGAGACAGCGAAUAACCUUUUCCCUUGAUUUUGGAAUAAGGCAUUGAUUUGUCAUGCUGUUUUGUACAACCGAGAGCUCUCCCAGUGGUGCGCUACAAGCUUGAAAGGAGGCAAAGAGACAGCUACAUAGAGAAAAGGAGAAACGUUAAGGGUCUUCCCAUCAGAAGCACACCGGCUGAAAUGCUUCUCAGCUACUUUUAUUUUUUUUUCACCCAUCUACCUUUCGACCAAAGCAGAUUCCAGAAACAGCACAAAGCCACGGGUUCCCUCCUGUGAUGAGAGGCUCAACCUAGUGCAGCUUGAAUA
ensembl:lncRNA